GGUUUUAUAGUGUAGUGGUUAGCACGUCUACUUUACACGCAGAAGGUCCUGGGUUCGCACCCCAGUGGAGCCA
rnacentral:tRNA from 1 species